rnacentral:tRNA from 2 species
AAUCAAUAAGCUUUUAGAAGCUUAUAUUUUGAAAAUAUAGGAAAAGAAUUAAAUUUCUUAUUGAUUU